rnacentral:misc_RNA from 1 species
UCAAAGAAACUAGGGAGGGUAAAGCAAAUAAACAAACGAUCUGUAAAGUCUGGAUCAACAUUCUGUGGCUAAGCUAGACAAAUUUUUGCUGGCAAUGCAACAUAGAGAGACUGUCCUUGCAUUUGACAAUUUGAAGAUACAUGAAAAAGGCAAACAGGAGUUCAUUUUCAUCGCGGACUUGGAAAGUUUCUGCAUUUGCUUUACCCUCCCUAGUUUCUUUGA